rnacentral:lncRNA from 1 species
AAUAACAAAACACUUAUUUGUUUAUCAUAUUUUAUCUCUGUCUCUUUUUCUUUUUUUCCUGUGCAAGAGUUGUUCAUAUGCAAGUCAUUAUUUUCUUUGAUGUAUUUGUCAUUCACUGUAUUAUUUCUCAGCACAUUUAGCUCUGAAGAUCAUCUGUUAGAAGUUCAUUGAGCUUUCUGAAGGCAAAAGGAGCUUGUAUCAGCAAAGGGUGGGAUCAAUGCCUAGCUCAGAGGAAUGCUAUCAGGAACAAUGGAAAUGUGGUACCCAGUUCCUUUUGGAAGAACAAACUUUGAAAGAUGCAUCUCAUCCAUACCAAGAAUGAUCUGCUGGGGAAAAGAUAAUUCCUGCAAGAUGCAUGACUCCAAAGAUAAGAUACAACCUACAAGAAAAAAACUAACACAGCAGACUGACAUCUUCAGUACUUUCUCCCUCACUGAGACUGCUCCUGAACCUGAACUAGCUCCUCUCCUUCUUCAUCCACUUGACUGUCUACUCUGGUGCUCUGUGCACCUCUGUAAUUUAUUGCACCAAAGGCAAUAAGUCAAUCUAAUUUCAUGGAAAGUAUGGAGGUGAUGUGGUCAGUAGUGCUAAUAGCUCAUUUUUCACUUUUUCAUGCUUGUGCACUUGAGAGAUACCACAGUGAACAUGGCUUUAUGUCGCAAAGUAGCCAAGUCAAAUCUGCUGAUUUCUCCUGACUAAUGAAAAAAUAUUUUUAUGUAUAUUGUUCCAUAGAUGAUUCAAUCUGCUCAAAAAAAUAAAGCUCUUUCCACCUACA